ACAAGCUCUGGUUGUGGACAUGGAGGAUAGUAAUUCAAUCUCAUGGAUUGAACCCCAUCACCAAAUAACUCACUAAUUUCCUUUGUCUCCACACUCAGGGCAUUUUCCAUAAGGUCAAUGAUCUUCAUAGCAAGGUUUUUCAAUUCGGUACAAUAGCUGUCUAAAUCAUCUCUGCAAUCAAAUCAUUUCAUAACACACACACAAAAAAUAUGUUUAGUAAACUUCAAAGCCAUUAUGCAAACUUUUAUUUUCUCAGCAAACCACUACAUAGGUUAUUUUUUAAGUAAAAUCAUAUGGCUUCUAGUUUUUGGUUUGCCCUAUAUAUCAGUUUGCUAUUAUGUUGUAGUGUUGACUUAGUCACUUUCAGUUGGUGUUUGUUAUUUGUUGUGGCUUUAUCAAUGUACUUGUACACUUUUGCUGUAUUCGAUUAUAAAAUAUUUAAUAAUUAGGUUCAUACAUUGAGACAGGUUUGACUAACCAGAGAUAUAUCAGAUCAAAUUGAUGAUCUGAUUGGUUAUGCAAUUAAUAAGAACAAAUUGAAAUUGAUUUAUCUAGAUCAAUUAAAAUUUGAUGAUCCCAUUUGCUCCCAUAACAGGUUUUUGAUGGGACUGGUUUUCGUAACACUGAUCAUGAGUACAUAUCCCAUAAUUUAUUUAGUAAUUUGAAGUUGUUAGUUUUCAUACAAACGUAUUCUUGGAAGGAGAAAAAAAGAAAUUUCGAAAUAAAAUUAGUAACACCAAACAAAAUAGCUACCAAAAUUAUAAAUUCAGAUCCUUAAUAACUGUUUUUUUCACCAACUUUUGAAAGAUAUAAAAUGGAGGAAAACAAUUAUAAUGAACAAAAAGAAAAGCAGAAAGCAUAGUAAUGAACAGAGAGAGGAACCUGAAUGGUAAGGGGAUGUUGGGGAAUAAGUAGGGUUUCCUUAAUCGUGGUGGCAAAGUGAGCAUGAAAAACAUAUCUCCCCAUUCUAAUUUCUGCUCCUCAGAAACAACAAAGACCUGACCAUAUCCCUCCACACCUUCUCCUUCUCUCUGCCUAAACAUUUUUUUCUCUUCAAUUGGAAGAUUGAACAAUUCAUGAGCACCUCUCUUCACUUUCUCCACCAAUGAACUGCUCACUCCGUGAUUAAUCAACUGCACGUAAAUAGUAAUUCAUCAGUUCAUAACUAACAUGCAUCACCAGAUCAGGACAUGUAUUAAUCGAUUGUUCUAUAUGAAAAUGAGGUAGGACUAUGCACAAAUAAUGAAUAAAAGCUCUCUUAUCUGGAUAAUGCUUUCACCAAUAAUUUGUUAGAUAAGGGGAAUGAGAAACCUGAAAGAAACCCCAUUCUUUGCAGGCACAGUGUAGGUUUUGCAGCUCAGUUUCCUUGAGAUCUGGGGAGAACAAUUUGCUUAGGUCAAUGAUGGGAACUUGGGGUAAAGGUGUGGUGGUAGAUAAUAUUGGACGUUCAUGAAGUGGACGAACAUAACGCUCUGGAACACUCGU
rnacentral:lncRNA from 1 species